rnacentral:rRNA from 1 species
AGAGUUUGAUCCUGGCUCAGGACGAACGCUGGCGGCGCGCCUAACACAUGCAAGUCGAACGAGAGAGAAGGAGCUUGCUUCUUCGACCGAGUGGCGAACGGGUGAGUAACGCGUGAGGAACCUGCCUCAAAGAGGGGGACAACAGUUGGAAACGACUGCUAAUACCGCAUAAGCCCACGGGUCGGCAUCGACCAGAGGGAAAAGGAGUGAUCCGCUUUGAGAUGGCCUCGCGUCCGAUUAGCUAGUUGGUGAGGUAACGGCCCACCAUGGCGACGAUCGGUAGCCGGACUGAGAGGUUGAACGGCCACAUUGGGACUGAGACACGGCCCAGACUCCUACGGGAGGCAGCAGUGGGGAAUAUUGCACAAUGGGGGAAACCCUGAUGCAGCGACGCCGCGUGGAGGAAGAAGGUCUUCGGAUUGUAAACUCCUGUUGUUGAGGAAGAUAAUGACGGUACUCAACAAGGAAGUGACGGCUAACUACGUGCCAGCAGCCGCGGUAAAACGUAGGUCACAAGCGUUGUCCGGAAUUACUGGGUGUAAAGGGAGCGCAGGCGGGAAGACAAGUUGGAAGUGAAAUCCAUGGGCUCAACCCAUGAACUGCUUUCAAAACUGUUUUUCUUGAGUAGUGUAGAGGUAGGCGGAAUUCCCGGUGUAGCGGUGGAAUGCGUAGAUAUCGGGAGGAACACCAGUGGCGAAGGCGGCCUACUGGGCACCAACUGACGCUGAGGCUCGAAAGUGUGGGUAGCAAACAGGAUUAGAUACCCUGGUAGUCCACACCGUAAACGAUGAUACUAGGUGUUGGAGGAUUGACCCCUUCAGUGCCGCAGUUAACACAAUAAGUAAUCCACCUGGGGAGUACGACCGCAAGGUUGAAACUCAAAGGAAUUGACGGGGGCCCGCACAAGCAGUGGAGUAUGUGGUUUAAUUCGACGCAACGCGAAGAACCUUACCAAGUCUUGACAUCCUGCGACGAUGCUAGAAAUAGUAUUUUCCUUCGGGACGCAGAGACAGGUGGUGCAUGGUUGUCGUCAGCUCGUGUCGUGAGAUGUUGGGUUAAGUCCCGCAACGAGCGCAACCCUUAUGGUCAGUUACUACGCAAGAGGACUCUGGCCAGACUGCCGUUGACAAAACGGAGGAAGGUGGGGAUGACGUCAAAUCAUCAUGCCCUUUAUGACUUGGGCUACACACGUACUACAAUGGCGUUAAACAAAGAGAAGCAAGACCGCGAGGUGGAGCAAAACUCAGAAACAACGUCCCAGUUCGGACUGCAGGCUGCAACUCGCCUGCACGAAGUCGGAAUUGCUAGUAAUCGUGGAUCAGCAUGCCACGGUGAAUACGUUCCCGGGCCUGUACACACCGCCCGUC